CCUCGGGGGGCAGCAGUGGGGAAUAUUGGGCAAUGGGCGCAAGCCUGACCCAGCAACGCCGCGUGAAGGAAGAAGGCUUUCGGGUUGUAAACUUCUUUUCUUAGGGACGAAGAAAGUGACGGUACCUAAGGAAUAAGCCACGGCUAACUACGUGCCAGCAGCCGCGGUAAUACGUAGGUGGCAAGCGUUAUCCGGAUUUACUGGGUGUAAAGGGCGUGUAGGCGGGACUGCAAGUCAGAUGUGAAAACCAUGGGCUCAACCUGUGGCCUGCAUUUGAAACUGUAGUUCUUGAGUACUGGAGAGGG
rnacentral:rRNA from 1 species